rnacentral:lncRNA from 1 species
CCCCAACAUCUGGCACCUGAACAGGGUACUCAACAAUGGAGACGUCUACUGUGAAGGGUGACUUGCCUUCACUGUGUCCCUGGGGUGGGACACAACUUGCAACCCAUCUACUUCAUUUUCUUCGGAAAAUUCCCGGGCGAGCAGACGGAACUCCAUAUGGCUGAUGUUCAGAUCCUCCUGGCUGUGUGCUUCUGCUGUCUCUACCUUAAUUGGGUAAGACCCUAUUUUCCC